rnacentral:rRNA from 1 species
AUUGAACGCUGGCGGCAUGCCUUACACAUGCAAGUCGAACGGCAGCACGGGAGCAAUCCUGGUGGCGAGUGGCGAACGGGUGAGUAAUACAUCGGAACGUGCCCAAUCGUGGGGGAUAACGCAGCGAAAGCUGUGCUAAUACCGCAUACGAUCUACGGACGAAAGCAGGGGACCGCAAGGCCUUGCGCGAAUGGAGCGGCCGAUGGCAGAUUAGGUAGUUGGUGGGGUAAAGGCUCACCAAGCCAACGAUCUGUAGCUGGUCUGAGAGGACGACCAGCCACACUGGGAGUGAGACACGGCCGCGACACUGACGGGAGGCAGCAGUGGGGAAUUUUGGACAAUGGGGGAAAGCCUGAUCCAGCACUGCGGCGUGCAGGAUGAAGGCCUUCGGGUGGUAAACUGCUUUUGUACGGAACGAAGCGGCCUUUUCUAAUAAAGAGAGCUAAUGACGGUACCGUAAGAAUAAGCACCGGCUAACUACGUG